UCAACAGCCAUGACAGGGAACCAGUAAGUAGAACUCAGGCUAAAAGAGAGCAGGAUUCACCGGCUGAAAGAUCCUGCAGCCUGCAAAGCUAUUGAACCUAGCCCUUGAGCUGCCAGGCAAACCUGGCCGAAUUUCCUGCGUUAAAGGAUUUUCAAAGCGGGCACUUGCUGUGUGAAGUGCCAAUGAAGGUGGUACCGCGAAAGACAAAGCUCUUCCGUCCUUUUU
rnacentral:ncRNA from 1 species